rnacentral:misc_RNA from 1 species
AAGAGAUUGAUCAAUGAGGCCUCCAAACAAGAUACUCUCCUCCUCCUUAUCAUCAUCAUCACCCGGGUCUCCUUAUUUCUUGGUUCUGAUAGUUGCUCUACCUUUGGUUGUGAUAUCUGUGGUGGUUUGUACACUGGUUCCUCAAGGCUUUUCUAGGUCUGCAUUGCCUUCUCGAACCACAUGGAGAGUUGGUUACUCUCGUUCCUAUCCUUUAGCUUCUUUUUCACUAGCAGAAGCGGCUCCUGGAAACUACUCCAUCUUCAAUUUUUCAGAUAGUUCGAUUGCUAAAGAACUGAACCAAUCAGGACACGAGCAAGAAAUGUUGAACCUUAAAGAAUCUGAUGAAGUUGCUGUUAAUGCCUCAGAAAAAGUUAUCAAGAGAUACAGUAGGAUAGAGAAAAUGGAAGCAAGCUUGGCUACAGUGAGGUCUUCCAUUAGAGAAGCAGCUCGAGUCCGGAACCUAACCUCAGUCCACCAGGAUCCAGACUAUGUUCCACAAGGUCCAAUCUAUAGAAAUGCCAAUGCCUUCCACAGGAGCUAUUUGGAGAUGGAGAAGCUAUUCAAGAUAUAUGUGUAUGAAGAAGGGGAACCUCCCAUGUUUCAUGAUGGGCCAUGCAAGAGUAUAUAUUCCACAGAAGGGAGAUUCAUUCAUGAGCUGGAGAAGGGCAACUCAUAUAGAACUAGAGACCCUAAUGAGGCUCUGGUUUACUUCCUUCCAUUUAGUGUGGUAAUGAUGGUACAGUACCUGUAUGUGCCUGGCGCCCAUGAGAUUCAUGCCAUUGGACGUGCUGUAGUGGACUAUGUUAAUAUCAUUUCCAAUAAGCAUCCCUAUUGGAAUCGAAGCCUUGGUGCUGAUCAUUUCAUGCUCUCUUGCCAUGAUUGGGGGCCGCGAACAUCAGCCUACGUUCCUAAUUUGUUCAAUAAUUCAAUCAGAGUUUUAUGUAAUGCAAAUACUUCUGAAGGAUUCAACCCUUCAAAAGAUGCCUCAUUUCCAGAAAUACAUCUAAGAACGGGGGAAGCUAAAGGACUUGUGGGUGGCCUCUCCCCUUCCCGGCGACCUAUUCUCGCCUUCUUCUCCGGCCGGCUGCACGGGCACAUUAGGCAGCUACUACUAGAUCAAUGGAAAAACAAAGACCAAGAUGUCCAAGUUUAUGAGCAACUACCAAAAGGUAUGUCAUAUGAGUCCAUGUUAAAAAAGAGCAGGUUCUGCCUAUGCCCUAGUGGAUAUGAAGUGGCAAGCCCAAGAGUUGUGGAAGCUAUCUAUGCAGAAUGUGUUCCUGUGCUGAUUUCAGAUAGUUAUGUUCCACCUUUCAGUGAUGUACUGAAUUGGAAGGCAUUUUCUGUGCAAAUAGAAGUAAAAGACAUACCCAAAAUUAAGGAGAUACUUAUGAGCAUAUCUCAAAGGCAAUACUUGAGAAUGCAGAGAAGAGUAAAGCAAGUCCAAAGGCAUUUUCUAGUGAAUAAUGGACCUCCCAAGAGAUUUGAUGUGUUCCACAUGACCAUUCACUCUAUUUGGCUUAGAAGAUUGAACAUUCGCAUUCAAGAUUAUUAGCAUCUGUUAUUACCUUUUUUUU